rfam:Spinacia oleracea cultivar SynViroflay scaffold88012.con0006.1, whole genome shotgun sequence.
UCCGGGGAAGCCGAAAACCGGUCCAAAGAGUAGGCA